rfam:Kockovaella imperatae strain NRRL Y-17943 BD324scaffold_11, whole genome shotgun sequence.
GGCGAGAUAGCUCAAUUGGGAGAGCAUUCGACUGAAGAUCGCUCUUCGAAAGGCGGACUUUGAGUAUCGAAAGGUCGUUGGUUCGAUCCCGACUCACGCCA